UUGGAGGGCAAGUCUGGUGCCAGCAGCCGCGGUAAUUCCAGCUCCAAUAGCGUAUAUUAAAGUUGUUGCAGUUAAAAAGCUCGUAGUUGAACUUCGGGGUCUACCCAUUGGUCAGGCUUAAUUGUCUGCACUGGUGAGAUGGAUCUCUACCUUCUGAGGAACUUUCAUGCCAUUUAUUUAGUGUGAUGGGAAAUCAGGACUGUUACUUUGAAAAAAUUAGAGUGUUUAAAGCAGACUAUCGUCUGAAUACAUUAGCAUGGAAUAAUGAAAUAGGACGGACUGAUUCUAUUUCGUUGGUUUCUAGGGUCACCGUAAUGAUUAAUAGGGAUAGUUGGGGGCAUUAGUAUUCAAUUGUCAGAGGUGAAAUUCUUGGAUUUAUUGAAGACUAACUACUGCGAAAGCAUUUGCCAAGGAUGUUUUCAUUAAUCAAGAACGAAAGUUAGGGGAUCGAAGACGAUCAGAUACCGUCGUAGUCUUAACCAUAAACUAUGCCGACUAGGGAUCGGAUGAUGUUAAUUUUUUAAUGACUCAUUCGGCGCCUUACGGGAAAC
rnacentral:rRNA from 1 species